GGAGAGGCCAACAGAUGAGGGAGCCAUUUUUCUGCAAUGGAAUUAAAUGGCCAAGUGGGACUCACACUUGGAAGAAUGAAGAAGACCUUUUAAAAAGAUCUGGAUUUUUCCUUAUGACUUGGAAUCCAUCUUUGUCUUGUAUAACUAGGUCAUAGCACACUAUUAAUGUCAGCAGUUAACAGUUUUGAAUUCAAAAAAACCUAAAGCAGUAAACAGUCCUCAGCGAAGCCGCCUUUUUGCCAGCCCAACCCUGGAAAGUUUGCAGUCGUGGAAGGAGCAGAAAUACCACGAGUGUAACUUACAAAGAAGGUCUUGGCCGGAGACCGGAGCAAUGUCUGUGUUAUCCCCCACUGUAGACAAUCGUUGCUUCCUCUGGACAUCUGGAGCAGGCCCAAUUUGACCGACAGCCUUCCCCGCUAAGGAAUUCCUGGACAAUCAGGAGUGCCCCAGGCCCCCUGAACAUCUUGCAGAGGAGGGAGUAAGCCACCCUGGGUGGGUGAGUGUGUAUCUCCUCCGCUGGCCCUACCUCUGAGGAGGCUCUCACCAGCAGCUGGCUGGAUUCCUGGGUAUUUUUAGUUACAGAUCCAGCCCCACUAUCGCCACCAGAGUUGAGUCCAAAUCCAACACUCUAGGUCCCAGUAGUGCUGGGGCUUUGUCACCCUCCUGCUGAGGUAGGGCUGGGUGAGUAGGCAAAGCUGGAACCCGGUGCUGUGGCUGUGUGCUACCUGAACCCUCCCCGAGCCAGAGCUGGUCGCUUUUGGUCAUUUACUCCCUGUAGACUUGCUCUGUCACUGUCACAGUCAUAGAGGAUGGAGAGUGCACACCACAGGUCUGGGGGAGCUUGUGGGAAGCCAGGAGCCCUCUCUUGG
rnacentral:lncRNA from 1 species